GGGGAAUUUUCCGCAAUGGGCGAAAGCCUGACGGAGCAAUACCGCGUGAGGGAUGACGGCCUAUGGGUUGUAAACCUCUUUUUUCAGGGAGGAAUCAAUGACGUGUACCUGAAGAAUAAGCAUCGGCUAACUCCGUGCCAGCAGCCGCGGUAAGACGGAGGAUGCAAGUGUUAUCCGGAAUCACUGGGCGUAAAGCGUCUGUAGGUGGUUGAAUAAGUCAACUGUUAAAUCUUGAGGCUCAACCUCAAAACCGCAGUCGAAACUAUUUGACUAGAGUAUAGUAGGGGUAAAGGGAAUUUCCAGUGGAGCGGUGAAAUGCGUAAAGAUUGGAAAGAACACCGAUGGCGAAGGCACUUUACUGGGCUAUUACUAACACUGAGAGACGAAAGCUAGGGUAGCAAAUGGGAUUAGAUACCCCAGUAGUC
rnacentral:rRNA from 1 species